UACGUAGGGGGCAAGCGUUGUCCGGAUUUAUUGGGCGUAAAGAGCGUGUAGGCGGCUUGGUAGGUCCGCUGUGAAACUCGAGGCUCAACCUCGAGAUGUCGGCGGAAACCACUUGGCUAGAGUCCGGAAGAGGAGAGUGGAAUUCCUGGUGUAGCGGUGAAAUGCGCAGAUAUCAGGAAGAACACCUAUGGCGAAGGCAGCUCUCUGGGACGGUACUGACGCUGAGACGCGAAAGCGUGGGAGCGAACAGG
rnacentral:rRNA from 1 species